GUGUUUCACUCAACCUCCAUCUCUUUCCCGUUGCAAUAAUUCUUCGAAGGCAAAUCUGUAUCAAACUUUACCAAAUGUCAAGCGUUUUAAUUUUGGAAGGUAGAUCUGUUUGCUUUGUAUGUGGAUAACUAACUUCUCUUCCUUCUCAAUGUACUACUGUAUCUUCUGUACUGUUAAUGGAGGCUAGACUGUAGCUUUUUAAGUACUGUUAUAUGCAUGUCUUUGCUAUGAAUUGAUUAUGAAGAGGGUUGCGGAUACAUCCAUGGCUUCUAGUCUUUUAAGACUCCAUAAAUUAUGGAAUAUAAGGAGCUCAGUUGAUGGAAGAAGAACUUAUUUUUGUUCGUGCUAAAAUGGGCAUGCUUUAUUUUGGGUGAUCGAGUCAACAUCAUAACCACAUGAUUUUGAUAUCUAGUCUACCGGUUCCUCUUUCCUUGAAGUCUUUUUUUUUUUUUUUGAGCUUGUUUAAGUGAUUGGGUAUGAGUGAUUAGAUCAACUUGAUAUCUAAUUCAGGAGGCUAAAAUUAAUUUUCUUUUGAGAUGGAUGUUACAACAAUCAUCUAAUUAAUACAUUUUCUUGUUAAUGUCUCAUUGCUAAAGACAUGAUCCUUGAGACGAUGUGCGUAACAUGAGCCUAAGGUUCCAAAAGGAUUUGCAAUCUAAGAUUACCUGGAGGCCACUUAGUCCGCAUUUUUAGAGCUUUACCCUAAAUUUACUUUUUGAGGCUCACAACAUACAUCGACUUUUCUUUACAAAAAGGCUACAACACCCCCAUUAUGAGAUAUACUGGACGAUCAGGAGGGUCAGGUCGACUUAAUUUGGAGGACUUGUGGAACUUGAUCUUGAAGAAAUUAUCUAAUUUUAGACAUCAACACAAUCGGUCGUUAUCGAAUUGAGCUACGAACAUUCAUUUUAAAUUUUAAUCUCAUACUACGAGACAAAAUGACAAUAGAGCAUAAUUAUUAUUAUUUUUGAAAUUCCA